CCCCUAGAUGUUCUGGGCCGCACGCGCGCUACACUGAACAGUUCAACAAGUCUUAACCUUGGCCGAUAGGUCUGGGUAAUCUUUGAACGCUGUUCGUGAUUGGGAUAGACCUUUGCAAUUAUGGGUCUUCAACGAGGAAUUCCUAGUAAACGCAAGUCAUCAGCUUGCAUUGAUUACGUCCCUGCCCUUUGUACACACCGCCCGUCGCACCUACCGAUUGAAUAGUCCGGUGAAAUCUCGGGACGGCGGCUUGGUCGCUUGCGUCCGACUGCUGAAACUUGAUUAAACCAUAUCAUUUAGAGGAAGGUGAAGUCGUAACA
rnacentral:rRNA from 1 species